rnacentral:lncRNA from 1 species
AAAAAUGGUGUGUGCGGUAUUUGAUAAACUGUUUGGCAAGACAGGAAAAUGUGCUAUGCAUUUGACACAGAUUUCCAUCCCAAAUGGUUAAUAUCUUCAGAAAAAAUAUUGACGCUAAAGAGCUCUGGUUUCCAAGAGAAAAUAUCAAUGUUCAUGACCAAUUCCUAAUUCACAAAGACUGGAAAAACCAUGCCUAUUUGCACAGCCCCUGUACUGUGAACCAGACGAGAGAAUGCCUGUUUAUGCAAGCAGAAAGCAAAGCCACUUCUAGAUCAGACCGCCUGGCUGCUGACAAUCAGAUCAAAUCAACAGCAUUUAAUGAGCUCCUCUCAGAGACAGUGCAAGAUGCUCCAGGAGAUACAAGGCUGGUGCGCUGACACCGGGGAUUGUCUACCCAACAUUCGUUUCCUCUUCUUCCCCAUCAACAGAACUCGUGUAUCAUUGAGGGCAGCAAGGGGCCCACUUAAAAGCCACAUUUCCUACCUUCCCUUACUCCCAUGUUGUGACCGUGUUCUGGUUAUUGAAAUCCAAAUGUAACCUUUGUGUGCAUCUCCAGGAAAGCUCUUUAAGCAUUGACGAUUCAGCCUGGAAAUCUGCCCAUUUUGUUCUUUCUUUUCUUCUUCCUGCUGCCUGGAAUUUGAAUGUGGUAUCUGGAGCUUCAGCAGUCAUCCUGGUGGAUGCUUAAGUGUGGAAUCCAUGCACUGAAGAUGGUGGAAGAGAAAGUUACAAGGAAGUUAGUCCCUGUCAAUUACAUAUCCAUCGUAGACGGCCUUCCAACAGACCUCUUCUAUGUGGGAGAAUCACUUUUUUGUGUUUAAGUCUCAGUUAUUUUGGGCUUCCCAUUAUAUGCUGCUGCAUCUAAUCCCAGCUGAUACAGGUGGUGGUGUUCUCAGGAAGCCUCUGGGUGCUGUGUAGCCUGGCACACUCAGGCACGUGCUCAUGGUCCUUACUAUAGAGUUUCUCACUCUUCAGUCAGAGUCGCUGAGAACUGGAGCUAACGCCUGGGACCGAAAGGGCUCAGCAGGUGUUUCUAUGAUUAGGGUUUGGGGCAUCGCUAGCACCCAUGAGAGGGUCACAGGAUGUUAAUAGUGACCUGAUUUAGUUCCUCCUACCCCAUCUGACCGCCAAGAUUUUGGGCCCAAGUUCAGUAUCUGGUCCAUGCGAAACAGAGAAUUCAGAACAAUCAUUAAGGGUUCCUGGGACCUGGGAGGACCUCUUGGACCACCAAAUCAACAACUGUGCUUUAAGCAUGAAGUGGAGACAGGGUUACAUGCAUAAUAAUCUCUCUCAAGUGAUUUUGUGUUUAUCUGGAUUUUAGCUGCGGAAUGUGGCCUCAGGAUCUAGAUUCAGGCUUGCCUCUUCUCACAUACAUAGGAAUUUUUAAUUAGCUGUGCCAGUCUCAACUGAAGUUGACCAUGAAUCCCAGCUUAUAAUUCCAACUAAGCAGAUGAAAUGGAUUAGCUAAGUGGCUCUGGCUCAGGGACUCUCAGGAGACUUCAGUCAAGAUGUCAGCUGAGUCUACAGUCAUCUGAAGGCUUGACUGGGGCUGGAGAAUCUGCUUCCAAGAUGGUGCACUCACAUGGCUGGAAUGUCGGUGCCUCAGUUCCUCUCCAGUGGGACUCUCCAAAGGGCUGCUUGAGUGUCCUCACAACACGGCAGCUGGCUUCUCCCAGAACAAGUGAUCCAAGAGGGCAAGGCAGAAGCAGCAAUGUUUCUUAUGACCUAGCACAGGAAGUCACAUAUUAUCAGUUAUGCCUUAUUUUAUUAGUCACAUCAUUCAAUCCUGAUAUGCUGUGGCAAAGGACUGCACAAGGGUGUGAAUACCAGGAGGAGCACUGGGAGCCAUCUUGGAGACUGGUUGCCACAAAUUAUUAACAUAAAUUGCAGACGAAUUAUUUAACAAGAGGGAAUUGGAUUAAAUACCUCUCUAUUCUGGCAAUCAACAUCUGACUACUACCAUUAUUUAAAAAAUUCCAAAUGAGUAAAGCCAAAUUAAGAAUUUGAGCUCUUUCAGGGGGAAAGAUUUAUGAUCAACGUCAAGAUGGAUCAUUAGCACAGGACUAUGGAAGGCCAUGUAUAAUGUGCUUG